rnacentral:rRNA from 1 species
CAGUCGCCGCGGGAAUACGAAGGGGGCUAGCGUUGUUCGGAAUUACUAGGCGUAAAGGGCGCGUAGGCGGCCAUUCAAGUUAGAUGUGAAAGCCCUGGGCUCAACCUAGGAAUUGCAUUUGAUACUGUUUGGCUUGAGUUCGGGAGAGGUGAGCGGAAUUCCCAGUGUAGAGGUGAAAUUCGUAGAUAUUGGGAAGAACACCAGUGGCGAAGGCGGCUCACUGGACCGACACUGACGCUGAGGCGCGAAAGCGUGGGGAGCAAACAGGAUUAGAUACCCCCGUAGUCCCUGUCUCUUAUAC